rnacentral:rRNA from 1 species
UGGGUAGUCCGCACGAGCGCACCUCAUCUUCAGUUGCUAACGGUUCGGCCGAGCACUUUGGAGAAACUGCCUGGGAUGACUAGGAGGAAGGCGAGGAUGACGUCAAGUCCUCAUGGCCCUUAUGGGCUGGGCUACACACGUGCUACAAUGGCGGUGACAACGGGAUGCAACAGGGUGACCUUGAGCAAAUCCCCAAAAACCGUCUCAGUUCGGAUUGUACUCUGCAACUCGAGUGCAUGAAGUUGGAAUCGCUAGUAAUCGCGGAUCAGCAUGCCGCGGUGAAUACGUUCCCGGGCCUUGUACACACCGCCCGUCACACCAUGGGAGUUGGUUUUACCCGAAGGCGGUUCGCUAACCUUUUGGAGGCAGCCGACCACGGUAGGGUCAGCGACUAGGGUGAAGUCGUAACAAGGUAGCCGUAGGGGAACCUGCGGCUGGAUCACCUCCUUUCU